UAAGACCCCUGAAAGAUGAUCAGGUUGAUAGGUCAGAGGUGGAAGCAUGGUGACAUGUGUAGCUGACUGAUACUAAUCGGUCGAGGACUUAACCAC
rnacentral:rRNA from 1 species